AGGAGGAAGACCAGACAGGAGGAAGAUGAAGGGAGACAGAGGAGGAAAGACUACCAGGACCAGCGAAUUGCUGUUCAGAUCGGACUGUUCUGUCUUGUCGGUAGUGUUUCUGUAAUACAGUUGUUUGUUUUCUCUGUCACAGUGUGCCUGUUAGACUAUUUACAUGAAACUGGAAUUGUCCCUCUUUUUAUGUCAUGGAUAAUAACACUGGAUAUUUUAAUAAUAUAUUGACCGCUAAACUGGAAAAGUCCCCAGUUUUCAUUUCAGAAAUCUGGUCACCUUCUUGUUGAUCUUACAUUCAAUGCACAUUAGUUGAAAAUUCAGCCACAUGUAAGUGAAAACUAUAGCUGACGUCUGACAUCAAGUGGGAAGUAUUUCGAUCAAGCCACUUUAAUUCUAUAACUGCUAGACAAUAAGGAGACAGCAAAGGGUUAUGACACACAGUGAUUGGCCAAUCAGAGGAUGAGGAACGUCUGUCUGAACAAGAUGACAACUACGACAUCAUCAUAUAACCCACCCUCCUUAUAAAAACAGGUUCUUACAUAACCUUCAAUGAUUCACACAGGAAUGUUGUACCUCUAAAUGUAAUUUAUACAUAGUUUUAUCCAUCCAUUGCUCUGAGUCAGAAAAGUUAAUUAUAUUUCAGUUGAAAUGUUUUCACAAGAGAUGCUCAUCAUUGUCUACAUAAAUACUGCAGUGUAAUCUAGCACACCCUUAUAAUGUAUUGUUUCCAAAAAGCAGGAGUCUGGAUAGUUUGCCCUUGAUUUUUUUGUUUCGUUUUGUCUAUUACCCCAAUCUAAAAGCUUAUUAAAGUCUUGUAAUUUGAA